rnacentral:rRNA from 1 species
UACGGAGGGUGCGAGCGUUGUCCGGAUUCACUGGGCGUAAAGGGCGCGUAGGCGGCCCGGUUCGCCCCCCGUGAAAGCCCCCGGCUCAACCGGGGGUCUGCGGGGGGGACGGCCGGGCUGGAGGGCGGUCGAGGGACGCGGAAUGCCGGGUGUAGUGGUGAAAUGCGUAGAUAUCCGGCGGAACACCGGUGGCGGAGGCGGCGUCCUGGACCGCGCCUGACGCUGAGGCGCGAGAGCGCGGGGAGCGAACCGG